GCCUCGGUGGUGUAGUGGUAGUAGCACGUGUCCCCAGUAUGGAUGAAACGUGGGUUCGGUUCUCUCCUGAGGCC